rnacentral:rRNA from 1 species
UACAGAGACCUCAAGCGUUAUCCGGAAUCAUUGGGCGUAAAGCGUACCGAUAGGUGGUUAUACAAGUCAGGAGUGAAAUCUCAAGGCUCAACUUUGAGACUGUCUCUUGAAACUGUAUGACUAGAGGGGCAAAGAGGAAGCUGGAACGAACGGUGUAGUAGUGAAAUGCGUUGAUAUCGUUCGGAACACCGAUAGCGAAGGCAGGCUUCUGGGUGCCACCUGACACUGCUAGGACGAAAAGCGUGGGGGAGCGAAUGGG